CCCCAGCACCGUUUCUGAGCUCUCCUCCCACCAGGGUCCCUGCUCCCAUCAAACACGUUUGUGAGCUGUGCUGCUGUUCUGGGGUUUAGUUCUGCAGGAAAAAAGCCUCACACUUCUUUUCCCAUCUAUAUCCCCAUGCUCAGCCCUGUUGUGUCACCAGCUUUUAGUUCUGGGCAUGUGCAGCUGUCCCUCUGCUCCUGGGCCAAAGCCACCCCAUCCCUGUGAACCCAUCGAGUGCUGUUGCUGCUGCAGCAUGGGACCAGCCCACGUGAGCAACCCCGGAGCGUCCAUGAGGGUUGCCCCAGCACCAGGAGAUGUGACACCAUCAGCAUGGAGCAAUUAACUUGAAGGGAGACAUCACUGCUAAUUGAGCAGUGAAGAUCAGGAGCAACAAUUACGCCUUUUGACAAGAGACAGCACAAGAGGGACUGCUCCGAGGCUGAGAAUGGUAGGGAACGGUUUCUAUGGCAAUAUAACUUUCCUCUCUUCCUCUCCAGCCAUAGAAAUGAUAAAAAUGUAGAUUUCUCCCUGAUUAAUGAUUUAAUGAAAAUAAAGAAUAUUCUUUUUUCUUUUUCUUUAAAAAAGAAAGAAGGGAAAAGGGAAGAAAAGCAAAAAGCAAAGGAAAAUCGAUGGGACGCAAUGUUUAGCACGAGGCUGUGGCUGCGGCAGGAUCGAUGUCCUUCUCCAGGCUGGACGUGGUGAAAUCUAUUACAGCAACAUGCCGAGGACUCCAGGCAGCCCUGCCAUUUGGAUGGUGACUCCAGCCUGGAUGCCACAUUGGCUGCCAGUAAGGUGCAGGAUUGACCUGCCAUGGAGGUGGCCCUGAGCUGGUGGCCAGGGGUGCUGUACCAGGGAGCAGGCAGCCCCUGUCUGGCGGUGAUGCUGACAAUCACCUUGGUUGA